rnacentral:lncRNA from 1 species
UUGUGGGGUCCCAUGUUGGGUUAUGGGGUCCCGUGUUGGGUUGUGGGGUCACGUGUUGGGUUAUGGGGUUCUGUGCUGGGUUGUGGGGUCACAUGCUGAGUUAUGGGGUCCUGUGUUGGGUUGUGGGGUCCCAUGUUGGGUUAUGGGGUCACACAUGGGGUCACAUGUUGGGUUAUGGGGUCCCGUGUUGAGUUGUGGGGUCACGUGUUGGGUUAUGGGGUCACGUGUUGGGUUAUGGGGUCCCGGGUUGAGUUGUGGGGUCACAUCCCCGGUUGCCACAUUCCCAUUUGGGGUCAGAGGUUCCAUUUGGGGUCAGAGGUUCCUUUUGGGGUCAGAGGUUCCAUUUGGGGUUCCUUUUGGGGUUCCUUUUGGGGUCAGAGGAUCCAUUUGGGGUCAGAGGUUCCUUUUGGGGUUCCUUUUGGGGUCAGAGGUUCCAUUUGGGGUCAGCUGCUCCACCUGGGAUCCCAUUUGGGGUCGGUGCCGCAUUCGGGCGCGGUCGCGAUUUGGGAUUUGGGGCCCUCAGUGCUCCAUGGGUGUCGGGGGUCCCGGAGGA